rnacentral:lncRNA from 12 species
AUGGAGGAGUCCCUCCCUGGCCAAUGUGCCCACCUUACCCGCUCCCCAGCCCCUGUCUCACCCCUUUCUCUCCUGGUCCAGGUGCCUCCUUCCUUCUCUCAGGGAACGCACUCCCCUAGGCAGCUUCAGGCUCCAGGAUGUCCCUCGCCCUCCAGCCAGCAUGACUGUCCCUCCUCUCCCCACCCCCCUGGCCUGGCUGCCUUUGGGGCCAAAUUUCCUUGCUGGGGAGGAAGGAUGCAUGACUUUGUGGACAUCUCCGAGGUCGUGGGGCACAGAGAACCUGCCUGGCACGCGGUGGGCACUCACCGAGCAGGGAUCGAGGGACGUGGUGCGGCUGGAAGAAGAAAUCACUCUCAGGCUGCCGGAGGCUGAGACGAGGCCUAGGAGGGCCAUGGGCUUUGCUCCGUAAUCCUGCUAAGGUGUGCCCACCCCAUUCGCCCGCACUCAGCCGAGCAUUCCACAUAUCCCACACGUAAAACUCACCAACCCCACGAGCUAAUCACCAAUAUGAGCCCCAACGUGCCCGCCUGGCUCCUGACGACGCCGCAGAAGCAAGCCAACGGAGGAAGGCCGCCUUCCCCACGACUGGCACUGGAGCGAUCCGAUGUCUGUGGACAGAAAGUGAACCCUGACCCGUCCUGAUACCUUAUAAGGCAUUUAACCCAAAAUGAAUCACACCCUGAGAUGUAAAAUAGAAAACCAUGAGACUCGUAGAAAAAAACAGAGACCGACGGGUAGGGGAAGAGCUCUGAGAUUUGGCAUUGGACAGUGUGCCCCGUGGGAGGAAAGAAUUGAUGAAUUAGACCCCGUGGGAAGGAAAACUUACGCUCUAUAGAAGGAUCCGCCAAGGAGACGAGAAGGCAGGCGGCGGACCGGGGCACAAGGUGCAUGAAGGACGGGCCGGAUGGAGGGCCGGCUUGGAACACGGCGAGCGCUCUUGCGGAGAGUGUCCGCAGAGUGAUGGCCCCCGAGAGCCGUGCUGGGCACCGCGCCCGCCCGGAGAACCUUCUGCAGUGAAGGGAGCGGUCGCUGGCGCUGCCUGGUCUGGGAGCCUCAGCCGCAAGGGCCUCCCUCCCGGCCACCAGGGGGGCACGCCCGGCCGGCCCGGGGUCUUGGCCUGAUUGCCGAGCCCCCUCCCUGCACCAGUGCUCACCCCACAUGGCCAGGGAUGUCUCAGGGACCCCAGGACAGUGCGGGCCAGAUGCCAGGGGAUCUCGGCUGCAGCCAAGAGUGCCCCAGAGAGCCCAGGAGGGAGAGAGAUGGGCGUCGGUCC